CAUACGUCCUACGGGAGAAAGUGGGGGAUCUUCGGACCUCACGCUAUUAGAUGAGCCUAGGUCGGAUUAGCUAGUUGGUGAGGUAAUGGCUCACCAAGGCGACGAUCCGUAACUGGUCUGAGAGGAUGAUCAGUCACACUGGAACUGAGACACGGUCCAGACUCCUACGGGAGGCAGCAGUGGGGAAUAUUGGACAAUGGGCGAAAGCCUGAUCCAGCCAUGCCGCGUGUGUGAAGAAGGUCUUCGGAUUGUAAAGCACUUUAAGUUGGGAGGAAGGGCAGUU
rnacentral:rRNA from 1 species